CACUUGAAACUGUGCCUGUUGUGAAAAGUAGCAUUUCAGUCAUGGUUUUUUGUGGA
rnacentral:pre_miRNA from 1 species